ncrna:unclassified sequences DTF805b RNA
AAAGAGGAACCCGAAAAUCUUCAAAAGAGUAGGGA